rfam:Glycine max cultivar Williams 82 chromosome 15, whole genome shotgun sequence.
GUGAACCUAGUGAUAGGAGACUAUCUAGCUUGGUUCGGAGAGCACAAGACUUUGUCAAAAUAUAUAAACUUUCGACAAAGGAGAUAUAGUAUUGGGUCAUUCUAA